rnacentral:rRNA from 1 species
CCNACGGGAGGCAGCAGUGGGGAAUUUUCCGCAAUGGGCGAAAGCCUGCGGAGCAAUACCGCGUGAGGGAGGAAGGCUCUUGGGUUGUAAACCUCUUUUCUCAAGGAAGAAGCAAUGACGGUACUUGAGGAAUCAGCAUCGGCUAACUCCGUGCCAGCAGCCGCGGUAAUACGGAGGAUGCAAGCGUUAUCCGGAAUGAUUGGGCGUAAAGCGUCCGCAGGUGGCAAUGCAAGUCUGCUGUCAAAGGCUGGGGCUUAACUCCAGACAGGCAGUGGAAACUGCAUCAGCUAGAGUGCGGUAGGGGCAGAGGGAAUUCCCGGUGUAGCGGUGAAAUGCGUAGAGAUCGGGAAGAACACCAGUGGCGAAAGCGCUCUGCUGGACCUGCACUGACACUCAGGGACGAAAGCUAGGGGAGCGAAUGGGAUUAGAUACCCCAGUAGUCCUAGCCGUAAACGAUGGAUACUAGGUGUUGUGAGUAUCGACCCUCACAGUGCCGCAGCUAACGCGCUAAGUAUCCCGCCUGGGGAGUGCGCACNCAAAGGGAUCAAA